UACGUGAGGGGCGGACGUUGUUCGGUGUCACUGGGCUUAAAGGGUGCGUAGGUGGUUGCGUAAGUAAGGUGUGAAAGCCCUCGGCUUACCCGGGGAAUUGCGCCUUAUACUGCGUGACUUGAGGAUUUCAGGGGAAUGGGGAACUCCAGGUGUAGCGGUGAAAUGCGCAGAUAUCAGGAGGAACACCGGUGGCGAAGGCGGGUCUCUGGGCCGAUACUGACGCUGAGGAGCGAAAGCGUGGGGAGCGAACAGG
rnacentral:rRNA from 1 species